AUGGAUGGCUACGUGCUUUUUAGGAAAGACAGGCCAGGAAAGCGAGGUGGUGGAGUUGCUCUUUAUGUGAGAGAGCAACUGGAAUGUAUUGAGCUGUGCCUAGGGGUGGAUGAAGAGCAAGUUGAGAGCUUAUGGGUAAGGAUUAAAGGGCAGGCUAGCAUGGGUGACACUGUUGUGGGUGUUUACUACAGGCCACCUGAUCAGGAUGAGGAAGUCGAUGAGGCCUUCUACAGACAGCUGGAAGUAGCCUCACAAUCACAGGCCCUGGUUCUCAUGGGGGACUUCAACCACCCYGAUAUCUGCUGGAAAGACAACACAGCUAGGCGCAAAGAGUCCUGGAGGUUCCUGCAGAGCAUUGGUGACAACUUCUUGACACAGGUGGUGGAGGAGCCAACAAGGAGAGGUGUGCUGCUGGACCUCGUACUAACAAACAAAGAAGGACUGGUGGAAGAUGUGAAGGUCGGGGGCUGCCUUGGCUGCAGUGACCAUGAGAUGGUGGAGUUCAGGAUCCUGCGAGGAGGCAGCAGGGCACCAAGUAGGAUCACAACCCUGGACUUCAGGAGAGCAAACUUUGGCCUCUUCAGGGACCUACUUGGAGGAAUCCCAUGGGUGAGGGCCCUAGAAGGAAGGAGUGUUCAAGAGAGCUGGUCAAUAUUCAAACAUCACUUCCUCCAGGCUCAAGAGCGGUGCAUCCCUAUGAGUAGGAAGUCAAGCAAAGGAGGCAGGAGACCUGCAUGGAUGAGCAAGGAGCUCCUGGCAAAACUUAACCAGAAGAAGGAAGUAUACAGAAAGUGGAAAGGGGGACAGGCCACUUGGGAGGAAUAUAGGAAUGUUGUCAGAGUAUGCAGGGAUGCGACGAGGAAGGCUAAGGCCCGUUUGGGAUUAAAUCUGGCUAGAGAUGUCAAGGACAGCAAGAAGGGCUUCUUCAAAUACAUCAGUAGCAAGAGGAAGACUAGGGAAAAUGUGGGGCCUUUGCUGAAUGGGGUGGGUGCCCUGGUGACGAAGGAUGCAGAGAAGGCAGAGUUACUGAAUGCCGCCUCUGCUUCAGUCUUUACUGCUCAGGCCAGCCCUCAGGAACCCCAGACCCUGGAGGCAAGAGAGAAAGUCUGGAGAAAGGAAGACUUUCCCUUGGUGGAGGAGGAUCGGGUUAGAGAUCAUUUAAGCAAACCUGACACCCACAAAUCCAUGGGCCCUGAUGGGAUGCACCCACGAGUGCUGAGGGAGCUGGCGGAUGUCAUUGCUAAGCCACUCUCCAUCAUCUUUGAAAGGUCAUGGAGAACAGGAGAGGUGCCUGAGGACUGGAAGAAAGCCAAUGUCACCCAGUCUUCAAAAAAGGCAAGAAGGAGGACCCAGGGAACUACAGGCCAGUCAGCCUCACCUGCAUCCCUGGAAAGGUGA
ensembl:lncRNA